rnacentral:lncRNA from 1 species
AAUUACAUGCGAAACAAAAAGACAAUCAGGGCAUGCAAAGGGACGGUAGGUAGCUUUCUUCGUCUUCGGUCUCACUGUUCAUGAUUCAUAAGAACAUACACGGUUCCAAUACUCCUAUACCAGAUAACGAUUUCCGUUUCAUUUGCAGACUGCUUAUAACUGAUGUGGAACCAACCUGAAUGAGGAAUGGGUUCUUGGACUGGACAAAAAAAUGGAAGAAUUUUGAAAUAGAAACGAUUCAAACCCUGAAGUUUUCCACCGAAAAUUUGUCUCACUCCUUUCCUCCAAAAAAUAAAAUGAUCACAAGACUUCCAAGAGAUACGGGCGAGAGACUGGGAAGGAGACGUGGCAAACCCAUUUCUGGAAAUAUAAGGCAAGGUCCAGUUCGCAUGCAAAGGUUUGGGCUUCGCGAAUGAAAAGCGCACGGGCGCACCAAGCGCCAGCACGGCAAGAAGCUGCCAUAAAGAAUGACAUCCAGACCCGUUCUAAACCCCAUUUUGCUUAGGGCAAGUGCAAGAGAGUAGAUAAAUUUAGCGACCAUGACGAAGCCUGCGCCCUCCAAACAACAAAAUAUCCUUGCACGGACACCCUAUGAAUCUCUCUCCCUCACAACCUUCGAAAUCAAACUAUAACCAGUCUUCAUCUUUUACCAUUCGGUAAGAAGCCCAGCAAAAGCACCGAUGUCGAUAAAACAAAAUCACCGGAGCCUAAACAGCUAAUGGCAGCCAAAUCAAGGAGAGAAUCCAUAACGUUCAUUCCAUCACCCUUGCUUGACAUUCUAAACAA